rnacentral:lncRNA from 1 species
UCCAAUUUAAUCAUACAUAUGCUCAAAAUUUUCGCGGUAAGUUUCUCUUUACCAUAAAAUUUGACCGAAUAAGUUUCGAAACAAUGCGACGGCGGAAAAUGCAAAAAUCCUGAUUUUCGUAAUAGAAUCUAUAGUCUUUUUGCCCUCUUGUACCGCCAUCUUGGAUUUAUCAUGUAGGCCCCGCCUGCGCUAGGUAUGCGUUAGCAAUCUAGAUCUCCUAUAUCUAUG